ensembl:lncRNA
GCCGAGGCGCUGGCGCGGCCGGCUCCGGCUCUGGGCCCCUGACGACCCCGUUCUGUCCUCUCGGUCCAGCCCAGGCUCGCAGCCCCAGUCCUUCCUCCCGCCCGCCUCAGGCCUUGCUCCGCCCGGCUUCUUCUCGGCCGCCCGCCUCGCUGCCCUGGAGUGGGCAGGAGCCGCUUUUCUUCCGGCAGGAGGCGGCCUCGGGACCGCCGAUGGAGCCGGUGACAGGCUCUUGUCACCUUGUAUUAUCGUUGCCUCUGCCUCCAGCUCUUUCUUUCCCAGAUAGUUCCCCAUGCAGCGAACAGGAAAUGAGAUGCUCAUUUUCUCCAUAAAGGCCACCUAGGUCAUCUCUAGAAAGACCUAGAAGAGUGAUAUCUGUCUCUAUUUUUGGAAUGCCUACAUGUCCACAGAACUCAGCAGGUUUCAAAUUCCACCAGACGAACAGCUUUGCAGAAAUGCACAGAGUUAUCAGUAUCACCACAUAGAUUGGGGUUUCCUGAAGCAUUGUGGUGACCACACUGCCGCGCAACGUCGGGAAUGCGGCGUCGCAGCGCCCCCUGG